CUACGGGUGGCACCAGUGAGGAAUUUUGCGCAAUGGGGGCAACCCUGACGCAGCAACGCCGCGUGAGUGAAGAAGGCCUUCGGGUCGUAAAGCUCUGUCAAGUGGGAAGAACCUGCAGGAUGGUAAUAUCAUUUUGCACUGACGGUACCACUGAAGGAAGCACCGGCUAACUCCGUGCCAGCAGCCGCGGUAAUACGGGGGGUGCAAGCGUUAUUCGGAAUCAUUGGGCGUAAAGAGCGCGUAGGCGGUCUUGUAAGUCAGAUGUGAAAGCCCGGGGCUCAACCCCGGAAGUGCAUUUGAUACUGUGAGACUUGAGUAUGGGUGAGGGAAGUGGAAUUCCUGGUGUAGAGGUGAAAUUCGUAGAUAUCAGGAGGAACACCGGUGGCGAAGGCGACUUCCUGGACCAAUACUGACGCUGAGGCGCGAAGGCGUGGGUAGCAAACAGGAUUAGAUACCCCGGUAGUC
rnacentral:rRNA from 1 species